UACGUAGGUGGCGAGCGUUGUCCGGAAUUACUGGGCGUAAAGGGCGCGUAGGCGGCUUUUUAAGUCAGAUGUGAAAACCCGAGGCUUAACUUCGGGAUUGCAUUUGAAACUGGGGGGCUUGAGUGCAGGAGAGGUAAGUGGAAUUCCUAGUGUAGCGGUGAAAUGCGUAGAUAUUAGGAGGAACACCAGUGGCGAAGGCGACUUACUGGACUGUAACUGACGCUGAGGCGCGAAAGCGUGGGGAGCAAACAGGAUUAGAUACCCUGGUAGUCCACGCUGUAAACGAUGGAUACUAGGUGUGGGAGGUAUCGACCCCUUCCGUGCCGCAGUAAACGCAAUAAGUAUCCCGCCUGGGGAGUACGGCCGCAAGGUUGAA
rnacentral:rRNA from 1 species